rnacentral:rRNA from 1 species
UAAAAGUCGUAACAAGGUUUCCGUAGGUGAACCUGCGGAAGGAUCAUUAUCGAGUUCUGACUGGGUUGUAGCUGGCCUUCCGAAGGCAUGUGCACGCCCUGCUCAUCCACUCUACACCUGUGCACUUACUGUGGGUUUACGGGUCGUGAAACGGGCUCGUUUAUUCGGGCUUGUUGAGCGCACUUGUUGCCUGCGUUUAUCACAAACUCUAUAAAGUAUCAUAAUGUGUAUUGCGAUGUAACGCAUCUAUAUACAACUUUCAGCAACGGAUCUCUUGGCUCUCGCAUCGAUGAAGAACGCAGCGAAAUGCGAUAAGUAAUGUGAAUUGCAGAAUUCAGUGAAUCAUCGAAUCUUUGAACGCACCUUGCGCUCCUUGGUAUUCCGAGGAGCAUGCCUGUUUGAGUGUCAUGAAAUCUUCAAUCUACAAACUUCUUAUGGAGUUUGUAGGCUUGGACUUGGAGGCUUGUCGGUCCCUUUACAGGUCGGCUCCUCUUAAAUGCAUUAGCUUGGUUCCUUGCGGAUCGGCUUGUCGGUGUGAUAAUGUCUACGCCGCGACCGUGAAGCGUGUUUGGGCGAGCUUCUAACCGUCUCGUUACAGAGACAACUUUUAUGACCUCUGACCUCAAAUCAGGUAGGACUACCCGCUGAACUUA